UUGAAUGCAACACAAAAACCAUCGUUGUAUAUGUACAUGUGUGGAGACCAGGUAUGAGUGAGUGAGCUCCUGAAAACAAAAUGGAGGGAUCCCUGGAUUUCUUCAUGUUGGGUCACUACAUGUAGUAGAAGACGCGACUUGAAAACGCGAAUUUUAUAACGCUUCCCGCGAUUCCCAGUUUCUUCCGCCGUACGAGUACGAGCGGUUUCUACUGUAACCGGGUUACUUCGUCAGCUCUCCAAUUUCAGCCGCGGUGCGUUUGAGUCGGUAAUCGCGUUACCUGAAGACGCGAGCGUUUCUCUUGUUGCUGCGUAAGUAACUGGAUGCUGCUUGUUCUUUUAUAGUGAUUAAUAUUGUGUUUAGCCAUUUGGAUUCUUAAUUAGGGAACUGAUUAUGCUAGAUUUCCAUUAAAGCAUGCGUUUCCUAUCUUGAUGCAAGCCCAAUGCAAUGUGGCUCUAAUUUAUCUAAGGGUCACCUUUCAGAACGUUGAUCUCGAUUGCCUUGUAAUUAUGGUUAUCUUAAUAUUCAAUUAAAUUUCUGAUUGGAAAUUCUUCUGCUGUGGAGCCUAGAUAGUGGAAUGUGAUUCAUUCAUCGACAUGGUUUUAGUUUUGUCCGUAUAUAACUGCUUCUCAGUUUUUGAUCUAUAUCCAUUAAUCUUUUCCGAUAUAGUUGUGACCAUACCUGUCGACAUGUAUUGUCUUGUUUUUGAUGAUCUUGCUUAGAGCUCGUAAUCUUCUUAUGUUGUUGGCAUGAGGAUCCAUCUUGAAUGCAUGAAGUCUGAGAAUGCCUCAGUUUGAAGUUCUUAUAGUCUCUAGGCUAUAUGUUUGUGUAAAAUUAGAAUUAAAACAGUAAAAGAGUUAUAGCCACUGCACCUCGAGAUGUAGUUUGGGCUAGGAGGCCUGUGAUGGUGUUCGGAAACUAAUAACAUUACCCAUUUGGACCAGGUAGCUGUGGAAGGAAGAGACAUAGGAUUCAUAUUGUUGUAGAAGCUUAAAAUUGUAUAAUUUUUUGGGCUGAGACUGAAAUUGUGAUCUGUAUGUUUACUAUUGGAACUUAUUGUGUCGAUUAUAAGGUCUAGCUGUUUGAAACAUGCGCAGAACCUGUGUUUCUUGAUCGAAGCGUUUCGACUCAACAACAAAAUGAGAUGAGAAACAGAGGUUAGCUGGGCUAGAUCUCGUAUUUUCCAAAGUAUAUGCAAAUCUCAGAAUAUUUUUGUAGCUGCUUCACCAGUGUUUUACAUGCUAGCAAUAAAAUCAACCGAUGAUUUUAACUGAUGAAAUUAUAAAAAAAUAUCAACUUGUGGAUGAUGUGACAAAUACAAAUGCGUGUAUAUUCUCUCUGUUUUAUUUCCUUCUACUACCGGUGAAAAUCUGAAAACGCUUUGUAAUUUCUUCCAGAAAUCAUUUGAAGAAGGCGCCAUGUAAAUUCAUCGCAAAAGCAAAGCCAGACCUAGAUCAAGGUGGUAUAAACAAAAGAACCAAAGGUAAUACUUACGCUCUAGCACUUGCUUGUAAGGUUUCUUCAUAUCAUAUCCGGUUUCAAACAAACCC
rnacentral:lncRNA from 1 species